GUGCGCUGGUCAUCCAAGACUUUCCAGAUACAACUGUACUGGUGAAGAAUUAUUUCUGCUGUCUGACUCUGGAGAAGUGCGUCGCUGAUUCUGUGAACAGCUGCCAGCGAGACCUUCAGCACAGAAAUCUCAACAACCUCCGAUCCGUGUUCUGGGAGAAAGUUGGAGGAGUUUGGGGAUUAGAUGGUGGUCUGAUACAUGAGCCUUUCGUUUGUCUUUUUAAAGGUAAAGUGUGUAUUUCAAAAAUAAUGACUGUUUUCAUACAGGUUUUAUGAAGACGUUCCCUGUG
ensembl:lncRNA